CACAAAGCUCAGCAAUACUCAGUCUUAUCCACCACAGUAGGUCAUGCAGCUACCACUGCUGUACACUAGAGUGGACUUUUAUUUUAAAAUAACAUUAAUCAUAUAUCAUCUAAGAACAGAUUAAGUUAUAGAGUACUUUAAGAACAUAGUGAAAUAAGCAAUGCAAUUUAGAAAGAUUUUUAUAAGGAGAUUUAAGUGAGGAAAUCUUCAGCAUUUCAGAAUGACAUAUUCUCUUAAGGAUUCCUGAAGAUAAGAUUUUAUUAUGAUUUUCUGUCUUUUGUCUCCUUUCUUGUUGUAGUGUUUUAGAGCGUGGAGAUGACAAAUUACACUUGCAUUUCACUUAACAGGAUUCAACUAUAUGUGUCCAGAAAAAGGAAAGAUGAAGUGAAAGAAUGAAGAAAAAAAUGAUAUGCUGCUCCCUGGAAUCAUGUUCCUGGCUCCUGGUAGUCCCUGACUUUACCUGUCUGUUCCAGGAACCUGCUUUAAGGCCAUUUGUUCUGAUGAUCAGUUUGGACAACCACCCUUUAUUCCACCACCUCAGACCAUAUUCAACAUCCUGGAACCAUCAUAGCAAAAAUAAGGAACUGCUGCUUUUUACUGCCUUGUUUUGAAGUCUCCAUGACAAUCUACUCCUGUGAAACUCAUACCCAACUUUCAGAGCAGUUCCUCAACUAUGUGAUGGUUGAACUUUGCAGCCUGGAAUGUCCUUCAUCUCCCUUUGUUAUCUGUUAUUU
ensembl:lncRNA